UUCAGGAACCCAGGUGGGUUGGGG
rnacentral:miRNA from 1 species